rnacentral:tRNA from 1 species
ACCUUUGUGGUGUAGUGGUCAGCACGCUCGACGCUUAUUCGAGAGGUGCGUGGUUCGAGUCCCGGCGAGGUCA